rnacentral:lncRNA from 1 species
AGCCGAGUUCGCGCCGCCGGUAGGUGCUGCCAUGCCAGGGGGCGGGAUCGUGGAGCGCCUCGCAGAACCGCACGAAAGCAAAAACAAAGCCAUCUCUCCGGAGCAGAAAUAGAACAGACGUGGCCGGGGAAAGCCAAAUAUUUCCUGCCGUCCUGGUGAACACAAUCGAGCAAGGCAGUGAAGCAAACAUCAUUAGGUGGCUGGACUCAGACACAUCACGCUCCAGUUUGGGUUCCAAGGUGCUUCUCUCUGGAUUUUCACCUGCCUUGCCAAAAAUGAUUGAUUACGCUGGGCCAACUGGGUGUCCGGCAAUACCCAACAAAUGACUUUGGCCCCUAACAGCAGGUCUUGGCCAGACAGAAAUCAAUAUUUCACCAUUAAAAUCUAUCAAAGAAGAGUUAAGGCACCAUCUGUCCCUGCCGCCUCUCUAUGGUGUGUGAACAUUAAAUCCGACACUUGUACUACAUGGGUAAUCAAUAUAUAGUGGUUCACAGAUCAUUUGUGGUUCCCUUUUAGCAGUGAUGGAUGUCUGGAAUCGUUGUGAUUCAUUUUGUCAGACCAUUAAACAAGAUUCUGUCCAGU